UAGGGAAUCUUCCGCAAUGGACGCAAGCCUGACGGAGCAACGCCGCGUUAGUGAAGAAGGAUUUCGGUUCGUAAAACUCUGUUGUUAGAGAAGAACAGCGCAUAGAGUAACUGUUAUGCGUGUGACGGUAUCUAACCAGAAAGCCACGGCUAACUACGUGCCAGCAGCCGCGGUAAUACGUAGGUGGCAAGCGUUGUCCGGAUUUAUUGGGCGUAAAGCGAGCGCAGGCGGUCAAUUAAGUCUGAUGUGAAAGCCCCCGGCUCAACCGGGGAGGGUCAUUUGAAACUGGUUGGCUUGAGUGCAGAAGAGGAGAGUGGAAUUCCAUGUGUAGCGGUGAAAUGCGUAGAUAUAUGGAGGAACACCAGUGGCGAAGGCGACUCUCUGGUCUGUAACUGACGCUGAGGUUCGAAAGCGUGGGUAGCAAACAGG
rnacentral:rRNA from 1 species